UAGGACGUAAGCUCAUCGGUAGAGCGCAAGACUGAUAAUCUUGAGGUUACAGGUUCGAGUCCUGUCGUCCUGG
rnacentral:tRNA from 1 species